rnacentral:lncRNA from 1 species
CUAGCUGCCUCUUCUUCACACAUAUAGACACACGAUUCUUACUCAUGUAAUUCACGCCUCUAUUUUCAUUCACCCACAUACACACCCCUAGUAAUACAAUUCCCACAGAUCUGAAGCCGAUUGAGAAAAACAAAAACAAAAUAAUGAAUUAAAAGGUUUGAAUUCGAGAUCUGAGAUGCAAAAUUUUGAAAUAAAAACAAAAGAAAAGAGUGAAUUUCAAGGAGAACUAAAGCUGAAUCGAUUAUUGUGGAUUGGUGAAGCUUGAAUAUUUUUCUGUUUUUUUUUUUCAAAAGCUAUUAAGUUCGAAAUCAGCUGCUGUUUGCUGGAAUUUCUUGCUGAGCUUCGUCUUCACUGUUUUGCUAGCCUUGAUUUGUCUCAAUUCAGCUAUUUCUUUCGCCUUGCAGAAAUUCUGCCCUUUCUCGGCUGGAAGUUGCUUGCCGAGUUCCAUAUUUGGUCUCUCCUUGCUGUUUUUUGGUAUGUAGCUAUAACUUUGUAUGCUUCCGUUAAGAUAUUAAUUUGAAGAUCUGAAUUUUCAGUUCUGUUU